CAUACAAGCUGCAGUCUCAGAGUAAAUGAUGAUCCUGACAGCACCAAUACCAGAGCCGCACAGAGCUAUUGCAUGAUGAGAAAGGUAUGCAACUUUAAUUCUGUGUGUCCCUCAAAAACCUCCCUAUUCAUUAACAGCGAUAAGUAGUGAGUGCGCAGGGAGAUUUGGAGGAUACUAAAGAGCCUGCCUCUCUCUUCCUAAAAUUCCUUUUCCACCUGUCUCAAUGAAAAAAAUACAUCAUUAGUAUUGUUUACCUUAUUCCAUUGUAUAAGUCACUAAGCAAGGGAUUAAUUAUUUUUUUCAUUUCACACAGUGAUGAAUGAUGAACUCACAGUGGCUCUUCCGCCCACUACCCGCACCGCCACCAAUGUUUCCAACCCUACUUUUAAAAAAAUAUGUAACUAAUUAAAAAAAAAAUGAUUUAAGACUUUAUUGAGGUUUUGCGUGUUACAUACAGAAAAAAUAAACAGUAAAUGCAUUUGACAUUUUUAAUGAACUAUUUAGUGGCCAAGGAGAAGUAUAUAUGCACACUUAAUCACACUUGUUAGAGAGGAAGAGCUUUGGAGUUGAAUCUAUUUCCUCUCCCUAUUUGCCCUUAAUGCCACAACUACCACCAUUGUACAAAUAAAUAAUUGAAUGACAAAACACUCUGUCUUAAUAUAUUUUACAAAAAUGAAGUAUACAACAAUGAAGGGGAUCCAAGUCUCCAAGAUACAUGAAUAAGGCUCCAUAGAGCCAAAAUGUCACACUUUUGUGGGUGGCUGAUCCUUCAAUAAAACAGACCAUCGGUACCUUUGAGUGUUGCCUGUGUCUUCUACUUUCUUGGAGUACUAGGCUGAUUUGCGGUGCCUGCCCCACACAGAGCAUCUCUUUGGUAGAUGGCCGGAUAACCUUGUGGAACUGAAAUUCUCAUAGAUUGUAAGCUCAUUUGAGCAAGCCCUUCUUCACUCUAUAUAUCCACUUUCUCGAAUUGUAAAACACUGCAGAAUAUGUUGGUGCUGUGUAAAUGCUAAAAAUAAUAUAUUAUGAUCAGCCACGAGAUUAAAAGCGCCUGCCUAAUAAUAUCAUGUAGGUCCCACUCAUGCUGCGAAAACAGCUAUGAUGCGUCAAGGCAUGGUCUACAUAACACAUCUGAACAUUUCCUGUGGUAUCUGGCACCAAGUUAUUACCAGCAGAUCCCGCAAGUCCCGCAAGUCCCGCAAGUCCCGCAAUUUGCGAGGUAGGGCUUCCAUGGAUCGGAUUUGUUGUUCCAACACAUCCCGCAGAUACUAAAUCAGACUGAGAUCUGGAGAAUUUGAAUUCAAGCAACACCUUGAACUCUUUGUCAUAAUUCUCAAACCAUUCCUGAACAAUUGUUGCAGAUUAUCAGGGUGCAUUAUCUUGCUGAAAGAGGACAAUGCCAUCAGGGAACAUCACUGCCGUGAAGGGGUUUAAGUGAUCUGCAAUAAUCUCUGGGUAGGUGGUACGCGUCAAAGUAACAUCCACAUAAAUGCAAGGACACAAGGUUUCCCAGCAGAACAUUGACCAGAUCAUGAUACUGCCUCCGCCGUCCUGCCCACUUCCUCUAGUACAUCCUGCUGCAAUCUCUUCCCCAGGUAAAUGAUGCACACGCACCCAACCAUCCACCUGAUCUAAAUGAAAAAGGGAUUUGUCAGACCAGCAACCUUCUUCCAUAGCACCAUGGGUCAGUUCAGAUGCACAAGUUCACAUUAAAAGCACUUUCAGCAGUGUAUAGGGGUCAUCGUGGGCAUUCUGACCAGUCUGUGGCUACGCAGCCCCAUGGGCAGCAAACUGCAAUGCAUUGUGUGUUCUGAAACAUUUCUAUUUUUACCAGCAUUAAUUUUUUCAGCAAUUUGAGCUAUUGUAGCUUAUCUGUGUGAUUAGACCAGACGGGCUAGCCUUUGCUCCCCACUUGCAUAAAUGAGCUUUUGGCAACCAUGACCCUGAUGCCGGUUCACAGGUUGCUCUUCCUUGCACCAGUUUUAGUAGGUACUAACACUACAAUCCUGGGAAUACCCCACAAAACUUACCAGUUUGAAAAUUCUCUGACCCAGUCAUCUAACCAUCUCCAUUUGGACCUUGUCAAAAUCACUCAGAUCUUUUAGUUUGUCUACUUGUCCUGCUUCCCAAACGUGAAAUUCAAGAACUGACUGUUCACUUGCUGCCUAAUAUAUCCCACCCCUUGACAGGCACCAUUGUAACAAUAUAAUUAAAGUUAUCACUUCACAUGUCAGUGGUUUUAAUGUUGUGGCUGAUCAGUGAAUAUAGAUAUAAAUAUAUAAGGGAAUAUAUUUAUAAUAUAAACAUGCUAAUAAUAAUAAUUUAUAUUAGUGAAAAUUGCAGGGGCAAAUCUAAGUGAAAUAAAAAAUGUAGGCCAAAAUAGUCAAAUUGGAAGAAUUCUCCAUGUCAAUUCUGUUUGCUGUUAUAGAAACAUAGAAUGUGAUGGCAGAUAAGAACCAUCAUUAGUCCCUGGCCUUAUCUUAUAGUUAGGGUAGCCUUAUGCCUAUACCACACAUGCUUAAACUCCUUUACUGUGUUAACCUCUACCACUUCAGCUGGAAGGCUAUUCCAUGCAUCCACUACCCUCUCAGUAAAGUAAUACUUCCUGAUAUUAUUUUUAAACCUUUGCCCCUCUAAUUUAAAACUAUGCCCUCUUGUUGUGGUAAUUUUUAUUCUUUUAAAUAUAGUCUCCUCCUUUACUGUGUUGAUUCCCUUUAUGUAUUUAAAUGUUUCUAUCAUAUCCCCCCUGUCUCAUUUUUCCUCCAAGCUAUACAACGAAAGGUUAAAGGAUCUUAACAUGUAUAGCUUGAAGGAAAGAUGAAACAAGGAGGGAGACAACACAGUAAAGGAGAAGACUAUAUUUAAAAGAAUCGUCUUAAAUUAGAGGGGCAAAGGUAUGCUAGUUUAGUACUGAUUAUGUGCAUUGGCUAGUGGCCCUCAAAGUUCUCCUGGGCUGGACUGUCAGGCUUUGAUGAGUGUAUGAGAUUGCAAGUGACUGCAUGGCGACAGCUCUCCCCUGUACCUGAGGCUGUAAGUUCUGGCAGUGUGUAUAUAAGCCUGUAUCUGGCAUUUUAUAACUGCUUGUAUGUCUGCUGGUGUGUAUACAGUUGUGCUCAAAAGUUUGUAUACCCUUGGAGAAUUGGUAAUAUAUGUACCAUUUUUAAAGAAAGCAUGAGUGAGCAGGCAAAACACAUUUUUUUGUUAUUUCUUGUAGGAUUUAUAUUCAACUGUGGGUUAUAACAGAAUGGCACAAUCAUAAAACUAAACAUGGCAACAAAGAAAAAAAAUUAAAUUAGCCCUGUUCAAAAGUCUGCAUAUCUUUAGUUAUCAAUACUGUCUAUUGCCUCCUUUAGCAUUAAUGUCAGCGUGCAGUAUUUUGUAAUAGUUGUCUAUGAGGCCCCCAAUUCUUAUAAGUGGUAUAGCUGCCCAUCCAUCUUGGCAAACUGCCUACAGGUCAUGCAAAGUCUUUUGUCGUCUUGCAUGAACCGUACAUUUAAAAUCUCCCCAGAGUGGCUCGAUGAUAUUAAGGUCAGGAGACUGUGAUGGCCACUCCAGAACCUUCAAUAGCGCCCCAUGCGCAGCCUUCGUGCAGAAGAAUGCAAUUGGCUAAUAGUAUUUUCUGAUAACAUGCUGCAUUCAUCUUGCCAUCAAUUUGCACAAUAUUCCCUGUGCCUUUAGAGCUCACACACCCAGAAAACAUCAGUGAACCAUUUUUUCACAGUGGGGAUGGUAUUCUUUUCACUAUAGGCUUUGUUGACCCCUCUCCAAACAUAGCUGUGACCAUAAAGCUCUAUUUUGGUCUCAUCACUCCAAAUUAACAGUGUGCCAAAAGCUGUGAGGCAUGUCAAGGUGUUGUUGGACAUAUUGUAACCAGGCUUUUUUGUAGCAUUGGCGCAGCAAAAGCUUCUUUCUGGCAGCACUAUCAUGCAGUUCAUUUUUGUUCAAGUAUCGUUGUAUUGUGCUCCUUGAAACAACCACAACGUCUUUUUCCAGAGCAGACUGCACUUUAUAAAGGAUGGAAAUCUAUUAACUUGUUACGCAGGUCUUUUCUGCUCCCCAAUUCUACUGGCAGUUGUAACUGAAAUCUUUCUUGGUCUACCUGACCUUGGCUUGGUAGCAAGAGAUCCCCUGAAUUUUCCUUUUCCAUCUUUAUAAAGUUCCUUUUCCUUGUUACACAGAUCAGGGCCGGGCUUAGGCCCUUAGACGCCCUGUGCGAAAAAUCUUCGCAGUUCCUCCCCUCCCCCCCGUCAUUCUUUUUAUAGUGUAUUAAAUAAAUAAUCAUUUAAAAACAAAUAUUAAUUCCUCAUUUUCUGUUGUUACCUAGUUGGGAGAGGGGCAUGCUGAUCUGAAUCUGGUCUGCCCCUCCACUGGGUGCAGACCAUGUGUAACUGUCUUGCAAGCUCAGGGACUUGCAGUGUCCUGUGGUAAUCUGCGGCAGUGCUCUGAUUGGCUGGAGCUAGGAAGACAGCUACUUAUGGUCUGCAGCCAACAGAAGUGCAUGCCAGAUGUGUCAGACUGCAGAGUCACAUGCACACAGUCCCACAGCCAGAUGCACACAGUUAUAUAUAUAUACACUGUCAAAUACAUAAGGUCAGGCAGAAACACACAGGUACAGGCAGUUACACACACAAACAGUUACAGGCAGAUAAACACACUCACACAGUUACAGGCAGACAGUAACACACAGUUACAUAUAGUCACACACACAGUGACAGGCAGACAGUCACACGCACACACAAUUAAAAUCAGACAGUAACAUACACACACACAGUUACAGGCAGACAAUGACAAACCCACACAGGUACAGACAGAGAGUCACAUACGUACAGCCACACAUACAGUCUCACACACACACACACACACACACUUACAUGUAGGCAGUCAUAUACACAGAGACAGACAGUCACACACACACAUACACACACACAGACAGCUUCACACACAGAGGCAGACAGUCACACAGGCGCACACACACAGUCACACGCUCACACGCGCACACACACACACACACACAUGUAGACAGUCACACUGUCAGGCAGACAGUCACACACACAGGUACACACACACAGAGGCAGACACCUACACACACAGGCAGACAGUCACACACACACCCAGACAGUCACACACACACACACACAGGUACUCACACACACAGAGGCAGACAGCCACACACGCAGGUACUCACACACACAGAGACAGACAGCCACACACGCAGGUACUCACACACACACACACAUACAGGCAGACAGCCACACACACAGGCAGACAGCCACCCACACACACACACACACGCAGACAGUCACACACACACACACACAGGCAGACAGCCAUACACACAGGCAGACAGUCACACAGGCACACACACACAGCCACACACACAGAGGCAGACACCCACACACACAGGCAGACAGUCACACACAGGAGACAGCACACACAGGCAGACAGCCACACACAGGUACUCACACACACUGCAGGCAGACAGUCACACACACACACACACACGCCACAGACAGCCACACACGCAGGCAGACAGCCACCCACACACACACGCAGACAGUCACACACACACAGGCAGACAGCCAUACACACAGGCAGACAGUCACACAGGCACACACACACACAGGCCCACACACACAGAGGCAGACAGCCACACACACACAGGCAGACAGCCACACACGCAGAUAGUUACACACACACACGCAGUCACACACACGCAGACAGUCACACUCACAUGCAGACAGUCACACACACACGCACACAGUCACACACACACAGACAGCCACACACGCAGGUACUCACACACACAGAGACAGACAGCCACACACGCAGGCAGACAGUCACACACACACACACACACACAUACAGGCAGACAGCCACACACACAGGCAGACAGCCACCCACACACACACACACACACACACACACAGGCAGACAGCCCAUACACACAGGCAGACACACAGGCACACACACACACACACAGCCCACACACAGAGGCAGACAGCCACACACACACAGGCAGACAGCCACACAGGCAUACAGCCACACACGCAGAGAGUUACACACACACACGCAGUCACACACACGCAGACAGUCACACUCACAUGCAGACAGUCACACACACACACACACAGUCACACACACAAAGGCAGUCACACACACACACACACACACACACACACAGGCAGACAGUUGCACACACACACACACACAGGCAAACAGCCCACACACACAGGCAAACAGUCCACACACAGGCAGACAGUCACACACACACACACACACACACACACACACACAGACAGCACACACACACACAGGCAGACAGUCACACACACACACACACACACACACACAGGCAGUCAGUCACGCACACACACACAGGCAAACAGUCACACACACACGCACACACACACACACAGGCAAACAGUCACACACACACCGCACACACACACACACAGGCAAACAGUCACACACACCAGCACACACACAGGCAAACAGCCACACACACAGGCAAACAGUCACACACAGACACACACACACACACACACACACACAGACAGCCACACACACACAGGCAGACAGUCACACACACACACACACACACACACACACAGGCAGUCAUUCACACACACACACACACACAGCCACACACACAGGUACUCACACUCAGGCAGACAGUUGCACAUACAUGGUUACCUCUGUUCUUUAUGGGAGGAGUGAAGGCAGUGCAGCUCUGGUUGUUGGGGAAGCAGGGACUCCUUCCUGCUUCCCAUGCAGCUGUCAUUUUAGCUCUGCCCCGCCGUAAUUUAAACCCCACCCCCACUGUAAUCACAAUGCUGAGAGGGUUUUUUUCUAAUCCCGGGUGGAGAAUAAUGAAAUCCUCCACCCGGGCAGCUGGCAAUGUGUGAGCUGUGUCGGCCACAUGGCGCCCCCUGCUCCACAGCGCCAUCGCACACCCCUAAGGCCGGCCCUGACACAGAUCUUUUGACAGUUCUUUUCUGCUCCCCAUGACUCUAGCAUGCAAUCGUGUGAAAGCUAAUAAACUCAUUAACUAUUUAUGCACAGACACUAAUUGCAAUUUAAAAAGUCACAGGUGUACAAAAUUAAUCUUUAAUUACCAUUUUAACAUUGUGUGUCUUUUUAUGUGUUUGUAACAAAGCCAAACAUUCAAGGGUAUGCAAAAUUUUGAUCUGGGCCAUUUGCGUGUUUUCUGUUAUCAUUAUGAUUUACAAAAGAAGCCAAACAACUAUUUGAUAAUAAAUGGCUUCAUAUGAUCAUAUCCUUCAAUAAAAUAUAUAUUUUUUGCACGAUCAGUCAUAUUUUCAAAAUCAAUGCCAAACUUUAACAAUUUCUGCCAAAGUAUGCAAAUGUUUGAGCACAACUGGAUGUAUAAAUGUGUGUCCGACAGUCAGGGUUAUUAAUUAACUUGAGAAUUCAAAGUGAAUUUCAAAUUUAUGGUCGAAAUAUCUGAAUUAGAAAAAAUUCUAUAAGUCAGUAAUGCUGCCAGUUCUGCUACUUUUGCCUUACAUUUGAUAUUCACUUUGCAUUCUCAUUGUAUGGAAUAGCCCUGAGUGUGUAUCUGUGUGUGUGUCUGUGUCUGGCAGUGUGCAUUUUUGUGUAUGUUUGGGAAAUGUGUAGGUAUUGAUGAAUAUGUACAUGUGUGUACUUAUGGUGAUGAUUGUGAUGGUGGUGUCUACAUUUCUAUUUGCAUCUAAUUAUCAUUAAAUAUUCGUACAUUAGUUCUAUGAUCAGCAUACAAACUCAUCGUUUAUUUGUUGUUUUAUAUGUAGAUUUGUCACCCCUUCCUGUAACAUAAAUAUGUAUUUCAGCCUUAAUACAUCCAUUGUUACAUGAAAAAGACUUGCAUCCAUUAAAUUCAGCCUUUCUCUGUAUUUGUGUGUUAGCCAUAAAACAUUGCAGCAGGGGUCCAUUCAGAGAUGUGGUAUUGAAGAUCAUUUAAUUUUAACAAUAUAAACCUGUGCGGUGAUAAUUAUAAAUACUCCAUCUAGACUACAUAGACUAUACAAGAUUAAAGAUUUACCUUUACUUUAUUUGUACAAACACAGCAGCUUUUUCUCUCCUUUUAUUAAAAAAAUAAAAAAAAUAACAAAAAACAAUAUUAGUAUCAAAUAUUUUGCUCUGUAGAAGUCAAGUGGCUUUUACUUCUUGCUGUGCUGACGUUUCAACCACUAUACAGGUUUAGACCUUUGAUAUUAAUUUAUAAUGGAUUUAUUGUUAAAUGCACAAUGUAUUAAAAGCAUUUUAAGCAAGAGAUACAUUUGUUCCAUUACUUAAAACAGCUGUUUUAUAUUCCUUUAAAAAAAAAAAAAAAAAAUGUAUGCUCUUCAUGUGGGUUGAAGUUAAUAGAUGAUACAGGCAGAAUAAAACUGGAUAUGAUUUAAAAGCAGAAGAAAAGAUUAUAGAAAGUGAAAAAAAAAUAUAUCUUUGAUUCUUGAGAGGGAACUAAUCCUGAGCUAUUUGGAGAAAUAUUGGAAAAUAAACCCAUUGUACAUAACCCAAUUAGUACGGCAGCCCUCACAAAAGACUCAUAUUUGCAAGCUGUGCAACAAAUUAUUAACCAACAAAGGGUAGCAUUACGCACAUCAUUAUUCAAAGCCAUAAGACUGGCUGUCAUGUUGGGAAGAACUCAACAUUUCUAUUUGCAUAACAUUAAACGGACGUGGAUGUUUGAACUUUUCUUGAUAGGAAUGUCUACCCACGGAGAACAUUUGGCAGGAAUGGGAAAAUGCUGAACUUAGUUCUUUGGUAGAAAUAUAAAAUGAGGUAAUGGCAAAGGGAGGGGGACAGGUCAUUUUAAAUUUAAAAAAGAGCCUUCGGUUGCUGUAAAGGAAGUAAGCCUUUGCAAAACAAGGUAUUUGAAGAAAGAUUUAUUUUAAGAUUUUAUUUAAGAAAAUGGAAUGAUUGGUGUAAGGAACUUAUCACAUGUGUAGCUAACAGGAAAGGGAGGACAUUUUAAAAGUGAUGCAAUCUCCAUGGAAACAAACUGAGUUAAUAGAAUAUUUCAGUUAUCCCGCCUCCAUAUAGAAAUGGGUGCUAUAGCAAUGUGAAAAACUUAAACCUGUGUUUACUUUCAAUCUCAAAAAUAACACUGAAAGUCCUUUUAAAUGGAGACUUACUAAGCACACUUUACAUUGCCAAGAAGGGUCAUUUCACAUGUAUGAGCAAGUCUUCUGACAUCUGUAAGAUCAAUUUAUUGUAUCACUAAUAUAUGCCCUCCUGUAAUGUUGCUUAAUUAAGAUAAAAGCAUUUUGUUGUUCUACAAAUUCAUAAAAAUAAAUCCAGUCAUCUUCUUCGUGUAGUUUGCAAUCACAGAAAUAAACAGAUAUCUCCUAUUCUAUGUUUACAUAGUCGGUUACUGGAACAUCAAGUUGGCGGAAGAACUGCAGCAUAUUCCCAGAAUUACCAGCUUCUGUGCCAAUUCCCCAAAACCGUAUCCAUCUUUCUGCUGCAUAUUUUGCUCCCUUCUUCUCAUUCCAGUGUUUAUUCAUAGUUACAUAAGCUAAAAAGAGAUGUGUGUCCCUCAAGUUCAGCCUUUCUCACAUUUGCUUUUGUUAUUGAUCCAAAAGAAGGCAAAACACCCAGUUUGGGAUGCUUUCCAAUUUUGCAACAAACUAGGAAAGAAUUCCUUCUUGACCCCGUAAUGGCAGUCAAGUUUAUUCUUUGAUCAAGGAGUUAUCCCACCAAUUAAACAUGUUACUUUGUAUCAACAGCAAAAGUAGAUAUGAGAAAGUCUAAACUUGAUGCAAAUCUCUUUUUAGCCUAUGUAACCAUGUCAUUAUGUAAUAUCCUCUCUGAUGUGCUUUUUAAAAAAUUUUUUUAAACUAAACAGUUUCUAUAUGUUAACCUUUCUUCAUAACUAAACCUUUCAAUUUCUUUUAUUAAUUUUGUAGCCCGUCUCUGAACUUUUUUUAGUGCCAUAAUAUCGUCAUUUACAAUAGGUGCCCAAAAAUACGCAAAAGUGCCCAAAAGUGAUUUAUAAAGAGGCAAAAUUAUAUUCUCAUCCCGAGAAUUAAUACAUGACAAUACCUUACUGGCCUUAGAAACUGCUGGUUAUAAUUGCACAUUUUUACCUAGUUUGUGGUUUAUAACAAUUCCCAAAUCUUUCUUGGGUGUUGUUAUCCCUAAAUCACUACCUUACUUACACCUAAAUUUAAGGUGUAAGUUGCUUGUGUAUUCUUUACCCUGAAGUGCAUAACUUUGCAUUUAUCUACCUUAGAUUUCAUCUUCCACUUGAGUGCCCAGUCCCCAGUCUAUCUGAAUCCCUCUGCAGCAAAGCAAUAUCCUGUUUAAAUUGUAUUACUUUACAGAGUUUUGUUUCAUCUGCAAACACUAAAAUAUGACUUUCAAUGUCUAUUUCAGUAGCAUUUAUAAAUAUGUUGAAAAUAAGUAGUCCUAGGACAGAACCCUUAGGGACACCGCUUACCACCUCUGUCCAGCAUGACAAUUUACCAUUAAUGACAACUCUCUGUACUCUAACUUUAAGCCAAUGUUCUACCCAAGAACAAGAAUUUUCAUCUAGACCAAUUUCUUUUAGUUUAAAAACGAAACUAUUGUGUGUUGAAUGCCUUGGCAAAAUACAAGUAGGUAACAUCCACUGCAUCAUCCUGAUCUAUACUUCUGCUUAAACUUCAACUAACAGUUUGACAUUAUUAUUAUGAUUUAUAAAGCGCCAACAAAUUCCGUAGCGCUGUACAAUGGGUAGACUAACAGACACAUAAUUUUAACCAGACAAGUUGGAUGCACAGGAGUAGAGGGGUUGAGGGCACUGCUGCUCAGUGAGAUUACAUGCUAGAGGGAGUGGGGUAUAGUUACAUAGUUACAUAGUUACAUAGCUGAAAAGAGACUUGCGUCCAUCAAGUUCAGCCUUCCUCAGAAAUGUUGUUGCUGUUGAUCCAAAAGAAGGCAAAAAACCUGGUCUGAAGCACUUCCAAUUUUGCCACAAACUAGGAAAAAUUCCUUCUUGACCCCAAAAUAGCAGUCAGAUGUCUCCUUGGAUCAAUCAGCUAUUACCCCACUAAUUAGAAAUUAUAUCCCUGUAUGUUAUGUUUUUGUAAGUAUUUAUCCAAUUUCAGUUUAAACAUCUGUAUGGACUCUGACAAAACCACCUCUUCAGGCAGAGAAUUCCAUAUCCUUAUUGUUCUUACUGUAAAAAAACCUUUUCUUUGCCUUAGAUGAAAUCUCCUUUCUUCCAGCCUAAAUGUGUGACCUCGUGUCCUAUGUAUAGCCCUGUUUAUGAAUAGAUUUCCAGAUAAAGGUUUGUACUGGCCCCGAAUAUAUUUGUAUAAAGUUAUCAUAUCCCCUCUCAGGCGCCGUUUUUCCAAACUAAACAGAUUUAAUUUUUGUAACCUUUCUUCAUAACUAAAAUGCUCCAUUCCUUUUAUCAAUUUUGUAGCUCGUCUCUGGACCCUCUCCAGUGCCAUGAUAUCCUUCUUUAGAACAGGCGCCCAAAAUUGCACAGCAUAUUCAAGGUGUGGUCUUACCAGCGAUUUAUACAGAGGCAAAAUUAUAUUUUCAUCCCGAGAAUUUAUGCCCCUAUUUAUACAUGACAAAAUCUUACUGGCCUUAGCAACUGCAGAUUGACAUUGCAUAUUGCUGCCUAAUUUGUUGUCUAUAACAAUGCCCAAAUCCUUCUCGUGUGUGGUUAUCCCUAAUUCACUACCAUUUAGUGUGUAAGUUGCUUGUGCAUUCUUAACCCCGAAGUGCAUAACUUUGCAUUUCUCUAUGUUAAAUUUCAUCUGCCAUUUUAGUGCCCAGUCCCCCAAUCUAUCCAAAUCUCUCUGCAACAAAGCAAUAUCCUGCUCACAUUUUAUUACUUUACAAAGUUUUGUGUCAUCUGCAAACACUGAUACAUGGCUUUCAAUGCCUAUUUCAAGAUCAUUUAUAAAUAUGUUAAAUAGAAGUGGUCCCAAAACAGAACCCUGAGGGACACCACUUACCACUUUUGUCCAGCCUGAAAAUUUACCAUUAAUGACAACUCGUUGUACUCUGUCCUUAAGCCAAUGUUCUACCCAAGAACAGGAAUAUUCAUCUAGACCAAUUUCUUUUAGUUUGAAAACUAACCUAUUGUGAGGAACCGUAUCAAAUGCCUUGGCAAAAUCCAAGUAGAUCACAUCCACUGCAACACCCUGAUCUAUACUUCUACUUACUUCUUCGUAGAAUGCAAUUAGGUUAGUUUGACAUGACCUAUGUUUCAUAAAACCAUGCUGAUUAUUGCUAAUAACAAAGUUCUUCCCAAUGAAUUCCUGAAUAUUAUCCCUUAAUAGCCCUUCAAAUAUUUUCCCAGUUAGUGACACAAAGAAUAAGCGUAGGGUUGCUAGAAAAGUAUUCACUGAGGGCUUAGUGGGUUAUUUUUUAAAGGUGCAAGAGAGGAAUCAGGGUGCGGGGAGGGAAAGCUGUUAACUGUUUAAUUGAGACGCUUUCCUGAAGAAGUGAAUUUUUAAUGAAUUUUUUAAGGUAAAAUUCUAAUAGACAUGUGUAGGGGUAGGGUAAGGGGUAGGGUUAGGGUUAGGGCAUUGACGAAGUUCCAAAUUUCGGAAGUGCCGAAACAAGCCAAAUAUUUUGCCCAUGCACAUCCUUAAAGUCUAAUGAGAGAGUAGAACAGAAGAGAGUUCCACAGGAAUAGUGCAGCCCUAGAGAAGACUUGCAGGCGAGCAGCAGAGGUGGAAGUACAGAGAAAGGAUAGACAUAGGUCUUAGUCAGCACAUAGGGGCCUAAUUGAGCCCUAUAUCUUACAGGAAGCCAAUGUAAGGACUAACAGAAGGGGCAGGCCUGGGAGGUGCGGGCAGAAAGGAAGAUGAGCCUUGCCACUGCAUUCAUUAUAGACUGUAACGGGCCAAGCUGGAAACACAUAAGACCACUGAGAAGGAGUUUGCACUAGGUCAGACUAGAUAGAACAACAGCAUGGACCAGCACCUUAGUCGCAUCUGUUGUUAAAUAGGUGCAGAUGCGCGCUAUGUUUUUGAGAUGGAAGCGGCAGGAUUUGGUGAUAGACUGGACAUGAGGGGUGAAGGAGUCAAAGAGAACACCAAGGCAGCAAGCCUGCGAGGUAGAGGUGAUGGUAACGCCGAU